rnacentral:pre_miRNA from 1 species
UACAAUGUUUCGACUCUUCAUUUUAUUUGAAAUUUUUUUGCGAUUAAUAUUUUUAUUGUUAUUAGAUAAUAAAAUAUGAAUAGUACUUUAUACGUGACUAACUUUUUUAAGUUUUUUAUAAAUUUUUCAAAUAAGACGAAUGGUCAAAUCAUUGGGCACAUAAAUUGA